UGUCCCCUGCUCACAGUCUGAUCCUGACCCUUUUGCUCCCCACCAUCUGGCUCUCCUCAGUCCCACCUGCUCCUGCUCCCUGAACCCCCGACUCAUGGCCAAGGUCCCUUCUUGAACGCUGACCUGGUCCAGCCUUCCUAGCCCCAAAUCCCUUCCAUCUUUGUGACUCCACCUUCUCCCUCACCCCCAAAAAAAUUCCAGCCCUAUCUGACCCAGAGCCCAGGAUCUCUCUCUUCCAGGCCCCCAGAUAAGCUGUCUUCAUUUUUGUCUCCACAACAAAGGACAUUAAAACCCAGCCACAAAGUCUCAGGACAGUGGGGGUUUGCCUCCCCUACAACCAGCAGAUUCUUCAUUUAGUGAGAAUGGCAGCCCGCUCCCCGGCAGGUGUGUUCAGGCUUUGUCUGCGUUGAAAUCACUUGCCACUGUCAGUCCCCAUCAGGGAUGAAAACCUCCUGGGCUCAGGGAGAUGAAUGCCCCCAGUGCAGAAAGAUGCUGUUCUGUGAACACAAAUGAUGUUGCUGCCGGCACCCUGGAUCCAGCCCAGCCUGACGGCCUCUUGAGGAAUUAAACAGCAGCAGCAAAGAAAGAACUGACCAGAAUGGGGAUAUUUGAGCACCUUUGAGCACCUGUGUCUUAAAGCCCCACUGCCCUAGAAAGUACCAGGCAAGCAGAUCUCCUGGGGAUAGACUUUGGGGGUAUUCAGGGUCACUUAAAAGACAUUCCAUCAAGAGCAAAGAGAAAAGACAUGGCAUCAAGGCCAGAAAGAAAAGACAUUCAUUCCAUCAAGAGCAAAGAGGUGAUGGAACAGUUGGCCUCAAGACUCUUCCAGACUCGCACAGCCUCUCCUCCCACUGCCAAGCUCCCCGUGUUGGCCGCAGUGUAGCUCGGACUGCCUGUGCUAUUUAUUUCCUAAUAAAAAGACAGCCUGGGUGGCCCAUGGGAGAUUAAGACAGAGAUUUACUAUGAGAUGAUUAAGCAUAAAACCACAGGUUAAGUCAGCAUCAGAUAGGAGGAGGAGGGGGAGGCAGAGGCA